rnacentral:lncRNA from 1 species
AUCUUUACAAAGGUCUCCUCUGACUAGAUGGCUCCCUGAGUCUACGCCAGCCUGUGCACUUGGGCUCUUCAGUCUCAUCAGGUUGUCUGCAGUGGGCUGGUGGAGGUGGCCUAGAAGAGUCUAGGAUGCUGAGGGAUGACCCCAGGGCAACCUAAGGGACCCAGGGGUGGUGGAAAUUGCCGGGCAGAAACAGCCAAGGGAGUCUGAGUUCUUUUUGUAUGGGGGCCACUGUGGCUCAUGGGGCUGGAUAUGGGUCCCAGGCAGUGCAGUAAUACAUGCCUGCAUCAUGCUUCUCCAGCAUCAGCACUGACAGGGUACUGCUGGUACCGUCCUUGGCCUCUAUGGAGGUGAUUUUAUCCACUUUCAGGACCAAAUCCCACAACACAUCCGGCUUAAACAUGGCCAGUCAGAGAAGUCUCUCAAGGUCCUUGCCCUCCUGGUGGUGGUACCAGUGGAUGCAGCAGACUGUGAUGUGGGCCAUGCCCAGCAGGAUUGCCAAGCUACCCGAGAAUACCACCACCAAUGCUUCCUGCUCCAGCUUCAGCACAGCCAGGUUGCCUGCCGGGGAGAUGGCCAUGAAGCAGGGGCAACAAGAGUCUCACAAACAGGAGGGCCAAUAGCAUGGCAAGGUGGCCCAGUGUGGCUCUACUUCCUGCCCAGGUUGACAUAUGGUGUCAGAAGUGGGAUAUGAAGCGAUCUCAUCUUUGCAUACCAGUGUCUCCUGGAAACAGGUUUGUUACUCUAGAAUACAGGUUUCUGAUCAACUUUUACAUCAUAAAACCAAACUGGGUAACAAAUGACAGAGUCUAACAGAGAAACUGAUGGCUUCAUAAAACUGCUAACAAAAGAUCAAGAACAAGUAUUAAUUACAUGGGACAACAUGAGCUGAGGAGGAUGCUUUAAUGUUUUGUUUUUCCAUAUUUAAAGAAAUCUUUUCUCUUCAGCUAUCAACAAUUUGACUGGACCAAACUGCCAACAUCCCAAGAAGUCAGAAAGGACAAGAAUGUCCUAUUUGUAAGAACUGAUGAAAUUAGACUUUGCCGAUGAGCAAAUGGUAACCAAUCAAUGAAGCACAAAUGCAAUCUCUUGCCUGAUGACUGGAUCUGAAGCCAGUCUGUGAAGUACAAACCCAGCCUUGCCUCAUCUAGCACCAAUAAACUCUUCUUUAACACGACUUACCUCACCUUCUUCCCUUUUUCUCAUAAAAACCCUGAGCCCCUCUCCUGUAAUCAGGACACUAUUUGGAUUUCUACCUGAAUCUCUGCUCCCUCAAUUGCAGUUCUUUG